CAUUAAGAAGCUAAACUGGGUCUAGCAUUAGCCUUUUAAGCUAAAAAUGGUGAUCUCCCAACCACCCUUAGUGA
rnacentral:tRNA from 1 species